UUGAAAGAAAAUAACUAAGACUAUCCCUAGUAUUUAUGGAGUAUGUGUUUAGUUCAUUCUCACAGUUUAUUCAUUCGUAAAAUAUCUGUCUGGUGCCAGCUCCUGCAAUGGGCUAAACUUUGGGAUAACAUUCAAAGAGCCAGAGAAUAUUUCCAUGAUGUCACACCUGGAGACAUUCUAGGGCGUGCUAGACAUUCACUCACAAUAAUUGCUCCCCAAUUCCCUACCUCUUCACAUUUCUGGGAAACUACAAACCUUCAGGAAAACCAUCAGAUCCAGUCUGAUUGCCCUUUGGGAGAAUCCCCAGUGACCCAAUGUCACCACUGUCAUUUUGAGUCAGCUCCCUGACCCAGACUAGAAGAGGCAGAUCUAGUGUGAGGAUGGGGCAGAGUUUUAUUGUCUGCAAACAGAAAUCGUCUGGGUUCCUCCCAGAUGAGAAAAGAAAAACUGAGAAUGUCAAUUUCAAAUCGAGUUGGCAGGAAAGAAUGAGGAGAAAAUAUUUGGGCCGUUUUUAAACGAUCUAUAAAGUAUUUUGCACUUGCUAGAGCAACUAAACCAAUAAGAUAAACACUUGGAUUUCACAGGAGUGCUACAAGUGUAAAAUAAUGUGGCCGAUUUUCUUUUUCAAUUUGGGAGUGGUCACUAGAGUUGGAGCGGGACAGAGAAAGCUGGCCUCUCUUUUUUCCCGGCUUCUCUCCCAGCUCCAUCUCACUGGACUUCUCAGGGCUCCCUUCAGGAAUGCUGCAUAACCUCAGCUCUGCCUGCACAUUUGGGGGUGAAUCUCCCCAGUGUGAGCUCUCUGGGGGAUCCAGGAAAAAGGAAGCAUGGGAGGAGAAAGAAGCAGCCAGGAGAGAAAGAGGCUUGAACUGAGAGGCUGGGGACUUGGCACAGGUCAGGAUUCCGCCCAGCUAGUGAUGGACCACCCGCCGAUCCCCCGAUUCAAUUCCUCAUGCCGUCUCUUCUGAGUCGUGAGCCCUUAAAAAGCCACUUGUGCCACCGAGAUCUGAUUGUAUACUCUUUACCUGAAAACACUUCUGUGGUUUUUGUUGCCAUCAUUGUUUAUAAAAUCUAAACUCCUGUGCUAGCUUGUGAAGCCCAACUCUACCUCCCGCCAUUCCCUGCUCCCUACUCCCACCCUCUGUGCUCUGGUUCCCCAGUGCUCUCAGAGAGUGGUGCCCGACCAGCCACAAGAGUAGCAACUGGAACUUGUUAAAAAAACGGACUCUCAGGCCAUACCCCAGAUUUAAUAAGAGGACCCCAGCAACCUGCAUUGUACUUAGGCAUUAAAGGGAUUAGGAUGCAUGCUCAA